rnacentral:rRNA from 1 species
UGGGGAAUUUUGCACAAUGGGGGAAACCCUGAUGCAGCGACGCCGCGUGAUUUAGAAGUCCUUCGGGUUGUAAAAUUUUUUUUUACGGGAUGAAAAUGACAGUACCGUAAGAAUAAGGUCCGCUUAAUUACUUGCCAGCAGCCGCGUUAAUACGUAUGGACCGAGCGUUGUCCGGAAUCAUUGGGCGUAAAGGGUACGUAGGCGGCCUAGUAAGUUAGAAGUGAAAUAAUAUAGCCCAACUAUAUAAAGCUUUUAAAACUGCUAGGCUUGAGAGAUGGAAGGGAAAGUGGAAUUCCUAGUGUAGCGGUGAAAUGAGCAGAUAUUAGGAAGAAUACCGGUGGCGAAGGCGACUUUCUGGUCAUCAUCUGACGCUGAGGUACGAAAGCGUGGGUAGCAAACAGG